UUUUAUAGGAUUUUGUAGGUAAAGGUAAAUUACAGUCAAAGGGGGGUUGUUCUCUGGUGGGCAGAGUGGGGGUCACAGUUACUCAGUGGGGGAGGUUUCGAGCCAGGAUGAACAAGGAGAAGGAAUUUCACAAGACAAUGUCAUCAGUUAAGGCAGGAACAGGCCACUUUCACUUCUUUUGUGGUGGAAUGUCAUCACUUAAGGCAGGAACCGGCCAUCUGGAUGUGUAUGUGCAGGUCACAGGGGAUAUGGUGGCUUAGCUUGGGCUCAGAGGCCUGACACCCAGGACAGGCUGGCUCAGCCCCUUUGACUUCAGAUUUCAGGGAAGGCCAGGGAGCUGGAUUGGGUGCCUGAAUUUUCUGAGAAUUAUGUUUCUGAGAGGAUUUUGAAACCUAAACAGGAAUACUUUACACACAGGUCAUCAAGCAGGAACUGGGAAGUUCCGAAGCUGCCCUCCUUCGUGCCACCUCCUCCCUUCAGAGGCCAAGGGCUGCCAAGCUGUCUCCCACACACCUCAGUGAAAAGUCCCUGGCUCUCCUCCCAGCCACCUCACUGUGACUUUGUGAGGUUACCUAACCAAACUCCUGCAAAACCACACCACCUCUGCCUGUGAUGGGGACUAUUUGAAUCUACAGUGCCCUCGGCAUUCUACGAUAAGUGUUUAAUCGGCAUUUUAUGGGCAAGAUUACCAAGUGUGUAGUUCCCAGAAGCCUGCCUCCCAGAGGGAAGACAGCUUAACCUGUGUGGCACCCACCACCUUCCAGAUGAAUUAAAAAAAAAACCGUGUGUGAAGACCAGGAGCUGAAACUGCACUGCCAUGAAUCCGAGUUCCUCAACAUCUACUCUGCGACCUAUGGCAAGAAGACCCAGGAAAGGGACAUCUGCUCCUCUGAGGCAGAGCGGCUCCCCCCUUUUCGUUCCCAAGAACAUACUGACAGUGAUUGACCCAGCCAUUGCUAAUCUAAACCUUCUUUGAAGCAGAAAGAUGGUGAAUAUGGUAAUUUUUAUGGCUUACUACCAGAAUUUCUCUU
rnacentral:lncRNA from 1 species